GACGAACGCUGGCGGCGUGCUUAACACAUGCAAGUCGAACGGUGAAGCGAGUGCUUGCACUCGUGGAUCAGUGGCGAACGGGUGAGUAACACGUGAGUAACCUGCCCAUCACUCUGGGAUAAGCACUGGAAACGGUGUCUAAUACUGGAUACGACCAACCCUUGCAUGGGGUGUCGGUGGAAAGAUUUAUCGGUGAUGGAUGGACUCGCGGCCUAUCAGCUUGUUGGCGGGGUAAUGGCCCACCAAGGCGACGACGGGUAGCCGGCCUGAGAGGGUGACCGGCCACACUGGGACUGAGACACGGCCCAGACUCCUACGGGAGGCAGCAGUGGGGAAUAUUGCACAAUGGGCGAAAGCCUGAUGCAGCGACGCCGCGUGAGGGAUGACGGCCUUCGGGUUGUAAACCUCUUUCAGCAGGGAAGAAGCGAAAGUGACGGUACCUGCAGAAGAAGCACCGGCUAACUACGUG
rnacentral:rRNA from 1 species